rnacentral:rRNA from 1 species
AUUGAACGCUGGCGGCAUGCCUUACACAUGCAAGUCGAACGGCAGCACGGGUGCUUGCACCUGGUGGCGAGUGGCGAACGGGUGAGUAAUACAUCGGAACAUGUCCUGUAGUGGGGGAUAGCCCGGCGAAAGCCGGAUUAAUACCGCAUACGAUCUACGGAUGAAAGCGGGGGACCUUCGGGCCUGGCGCUAUAGGGUUGGCCGAUGGCUGAUUAGCUAGUUGGUGGGGUAAAGGCCUACCAAGGCGACGACCAGUAGCUGGGCUGAGAGGACGACCAGCCACACUAGGACUGAGACACGGCCCAGACUCCUACGGGAGGCAGCAGUGGGGAAUUUUGGACAAUGGGCGAAAGCCUGAUCCAGCAAUGCCGCGUGUGUGAAGAAGGCCUUCGGGUUGUAAAGCACUUUUGUCCGGAAAGAAAUCCUUGGCCCUAAUACGGUCGGGGGAUGACGGUACCGGAAGAAUAAGCACCGGCUAACUACGUG